GACGUAGGGCGCGAGCGUUGUCCGGAUUUAUUGGGCGUAAAGAGCUCGUAGGCGGCUUGUCGCGUCGAAUGUGAAAACUUGGGGCUCAACUCCAAGCUUGCAUUCGAUACGGGCAGGCUAGAGUUCGGUAGGGGAGACUGGAAUUCCUGGUGUAGCGGUGAAAUGCGCAGAUAUCAGGAGGAACACCGGUGGCGAAGGCGGGUCUCUGGGCCGGUACUGACGCUGAGGCACGAAAGCGUGGGGAGCAAACAGG
rnacentral:rRNA from 1 species